rnacentral:lncRNA from 1 species
GCCCUUCUUACCUUUGCUUUAAGCUUAGCUUAGAAGUAAAUUGUGAUCUUUAUAUCAUUGCUAUUGCUGAGUGAAGAGUUAGGACAAAGACUGCUGCAUGCAAAGAGGUUUCCCCCAAGUUAAAUGCCACUAGGCAGAAAAUAACUGACAUUUUGGGAAGAUAACACAGGGCAGCAUUAUGUGCUUCAGAGUCCUGUGCUGUAGCCCUGCAGAAUGCCUGUCAGAGCUGCCACACACGUUCAGGUAAAGGUCAUUUGUCCAAAUGUGAUUUCUGUGAAGUAAAAUUGCCUGUUUGACAAUUUAAAAAAGAGUUCUAGUUCAUGAAUAUGGCAGAGAAAUGUCACUACAUGCUAAUCAGGGGGCUGGGGUAAGUGGCAGGGUAAUGGUGUGACCUUCCCUUCUGAAAUAAAUCUCCUGGGCUGUGGAAGAGGGGUUGGUGAGUGAUGGCUGUGAAACCUGGGCUGGGGAAUGAGAAGGCUCCACACUACACAUGGCAUGAGCACCAUGGAGGGAGAACAGUCAUUUUAGUGAGGUUUGGCAGGAUUUACCUUCAGAAAAAUGACACCAAUGAAAAAUAAAAUGCCCAGAUGAGACCACAGAGCUGGAUGGCAGAGGGAUGGAGAGCACUUUACCUGGGAAUGAGCAGCGGCAGAGCUGUGUCAGGCAGCUCAUCACCACUGAAAGUGCAACUCAACUGUGGCAAGAGGAGGCCCAGGAGCUUAUAUGAGACAUCUAUCUCUGCUGCAACUUUCACACUCUGAGACUAAAUCCCUUUUGCAUCGUCCAGGUCCUGGGGAGAGACAUUUAUUUAAAAGUAGCUGAAAUGAAGCACAGAAACAAACUGUAAGUGAUUUUUGGCAUUACAAGUGCAGUGACUGUAAAGCAGUGGCUCGGCUCCAUACUUUAAUAGGCUUUAACGUAUCAAUUAUAGUGCUGAGUAGUAAUUAGGGCUAUAGAGCAAAAUGCAGAGUGACCUCUAAACUGUUCCAAAGCUGUGGGAACUGGUGGGAAGGGGGAUUUGGGAGCAGACUGAAUUCUGGUAAUCAUACCACAGGGUGCAAAAGAGCAAAUGUGACUAUUAAAAGUUGGAUUUUGUUUCAGCAACGCGGGCAAGCCUUGCCUACCCUCUGACAGUGAAUCUUCCCACAGCAUGGAGCUAAGUGGGCUGAGCAGUGAAUAACUCCUCUGGGACCAUGGGCAGCAGCGUGCUGGUCCUGCCAGCCUGCCCACUCCAUUAAAUAAAUUGUGUCUAAAACCCCUGCA